rnacentral:rRNA from 1 species
UACGUAGGGUGCAAGCGUUGUCCGGAAUUAUUGGGCGUAAAGAGCUCGUAGGCGGUCUGUCACGUCGGCUGUGAAAACCCGAGGCUCAACCUCGGGCCUGCAGUCGAUACGGGCAGACUAGAGUUCGGUAGGGGAGACUGGAAUUCCCGGUGUAGCGGUGAAAUGCGCAGAUAUCAGGAGGAACACCGGUGGCGAAGGCGGGUCUCUGGGCCGAAACUGACGCUGAGGAGCGAAAGCGUGGGGAGCGAACAGG